CAGCCUCCAAGUCAAGGUUAUGGGACUGGCCAACAACCUAGCCCAAAUGCUGCCAACUAUGCACCACAAGCUCAACCAGGUUAUGGGGUGCCCCCAACCUCCCAGCCGGCUACUUAUGGCAGUCAACCUCCAGCACAGUCUGGUUAUGGAUCUGGCUAUGGACCCCCUCAGACCCAAAAGCCUAGUGGCACACCUCCUGUGUAUGGACAAUCCCAAUCACCUAACACAGCAGGGGGAUAUGGUCAAUCUGGUCAUUUGCAAUCUGGAUAUCCUCCUUCCCAGCCUCCACCUUCGGGAGGAUAUGCCCAACCAGAAUCAGGUUCUCAAAAAGCUCCACCAUCUGGUUAUGGUGGUGCAGUGCAGCCAGGGUAUGGUCCCCCGUCAUAUGGUGGUGCCCCAGCAGGUGGUCAACCUGGUUAUGGCCAGGCUCCUCCAUCGUA
rnacentral:lncRNA from 1 species